rnacentral:lncRNA from 1 species
GUAGCUUCACAUAGAUAUUAGAAGAAGGAUAUGUACAAGAAUUAUAAUGACUUUUCUAAGAUAGCUUAAUUGAACUGAACAACUGAUAUAAAAAAUAAGCCUCAUGUAAGAAAGUCACACUGUUCUUUGGCUCAAUAAAUCCUGUUUUAAAAAGAAUUGUUUUCUAUGGACCCUGUCCUAGAACCCUCACAUACUACAACAUUUUCAAUGUAAUUCCAUUUAGAUCCAGAUUUUUAAUGUUAGUUUAACCGCAGUUCAGAGCUAAUCUCAUUUCUCUUUUAGAAAGCACAUAUCAAGACAAUUUUCUAUUGGAGCAGCUUCUAGAGGUCACACAACAAAUUCUGUUUCUGGUCUUUCUCUCCUUGUUCAACCUUAUUCUUUGACCUAAAUACACUUCUGUUGGACUCUAAGAUUCAGAACAUCUGUCUACAACCUUUUGCAGAUUCCCUCUGGAGGCCCAUUUUUGCAGCUUAUUGUAUAUUGCUAACCACAGUAGAAGCCAUGAACACAUCUAGUUUCCCUACAGGUCCCAGACUCCCUGAUUGUCAGUGACAGCGAUUUAUGCUCUUAUGACCACUCACUGCUAUAAUGUAUUUAGAUUUUAUGUCAUUAACUCAUGGAUCCAGUGAUGUUUGUGUAAUUCAACUGAGUGGACAAUUGUCUUUGUUUAAAACAUUUUCAAAAACUUUUUCUCUUUACAUUUUUCAGAGCUCCAGACCCCUGAAAGUCAUAAUGCUUAUUCAUAUGAAUUGGACCCAGCAAUGUUACAAGCUGAGGCAGAUGUGGUGUCAAACACCAGAAAAGCAUCUUAGGGCUCUAAAGACAGAGAAGGAAAGAGAGGAGGGAAGAGAGAGAAGGAUUGAUUCUGUUUCCUCCCACUCCAUCAAGGACAUAAUGCUGUAUCUCCCCUGUCUCCUAAGAUAGCAGUUUGGGAAAGCUAAAUUGAGUGCAUGGUUGCUUCCAAACGUGUCUUCCAGUAUAUGAAGGCUAGUUAUGUAGAAUAAUAUAACAAAUUAGUCUGUAUAUUCUUAGUGUACAGGAUAAGAGAAUAUAGGCUUAUAAAACAAAAAUUGUAGUAUCCUAAAUCAAUAACAGGUGGCACAUGAAUAUUUUCAAAAGAAUUUGGAAAAAUAUGAGAAAAGACUAUGAACCAAGGACUAAAUUUACAUUUUUGUAAAGAUUAUUGUAUAUCAUUUCAUUUUAUGUCAUUUUACUAUUUUAUAACAAUCUGUUUACACUAAUAAAUGCAAAUAUCUGCUAACA